GAUGAACGCUGGCGGCGUGCUUAACACAUGCAAGUCGAACGAAGCACUUCAAUCGAUUCUUCGGAAUGAAGUUUUAGUGACUGAGUGGCGGACGGGUGAGUAACGCGUGGGUAACCUGCCUCACACAGGGGGAUAACAGUUGGAAACGGCUGCUAAUACCGCAUAAGACCACGGGAUCACAUGGUUCUGGGGUAAAAGAUUUAUCGGUUUGGGGUGGGCUCGCGUCCGAUUAGGUAGUUGGUGAGGUAACGGCCCACCAAGCCGACGAUCGGUAGCCGACCUGAGAGGGUGAUCGGCCACAUUGGGACUGAGAUACGGCCCAGACUCCUACGGGAGGCAGCAGUGGGGAAUAUUGGGCAAUGGGCGCAAGCCUGACCCAGCAACGCCGCGUGAAGGAAGAAGGCUUUCGGGUUGUAAACUUCUUUUAAGAGGGAAGAGCAGAAGACGGUACCUCUAGAAUAAGCCACGGCUAACUACGUG
rnacentral:rRNA from 1 species